rnacentral:rRNA from 1 species
GCUUACGGGAGGCAGCAGUGGGGAAUUUUGCGCAAUGGGCGAAAGCCUGAGCAGCAACGCCGCGUGCGGGAUGAAGGCCUUAGGGUAGUAAACCGCUUCAGCAGGAAGAAAAUGACGUACUCAGAGAGACUGUUGCC